GACAGCAGCUAUAUCUUCCUGCAACUUGCAACGGUCAGCCUUCUGAAGUUAAUCAGGUAUGAGUCUGGCCAGUGCUGGGAUGGGAGACUUCCUGGGAAAGCUAUGGUUGCUGAUG
rnacentral:rRNA from 1 species